UAGGAAAGUCAGGGCCAGGAGCCCGCCCCCGAGCCCUGGGUAACUCUCAAUGUAGGGGGGUA
rfam:Oryctolagus cuniculus chromosome 14, whole genome shotgun sequence.